rnacentral:rRNA from 1 species
CCUACGGGUGGCAGCAGUGAGGAAUAUUGGUCAAUGGGCUUACGCCUGAACCAGCCAAGUCGCGUGAGGGAAGACUGCCCUAUGGGUUGUAAACCUCUUUUGUCAGGGAGCAAGGGCGGGGACGUGUCCCGGCCCGGAGAGUACCCGGAGAAAAAGCAUCGGCUAACUCCGUGCCAGCAGCCGCGGUAAUACGGAGGAUGCGAGCGUUAUCCGGAUUUAUUGGGUUUAAGGGGUGCGUAGGCGGGCUUUUAAGUCAGCGGUAAAAAUUCGGGGCUCAACCCCGUCCGGCCGUUGAAACUGGGGGCCUUGAGUGGGCGAGAAGAAGGCGGAAUGCGUGGUGUAGCGGUGAAAUGCAUAGAUAUCACGCAGAACCCCGAUUGCGAAGGCAGCCUUCCGGCGCCCUACUGACGCUGAGGCACGAAAGUGCGGGGAUCGAACAGGAUUAGAUACCCUGGUAGUC